rnacentral:rRNA from 1 species
AUUGAACGCUGGCGGCAGGCUUAACACAUGCAAGUCGAACGAGUGGCGGACGGGUGAGUAAUGCUUGGGAAUCUGGCUUAUGGAGGGGGAUAACGACGGGAAACUGUCGCUAAUACCGCGUACCAUAGGAUGAGCCCAAGUGGGAUUAGGUAGUUGGUGGGGUAAUGGCCUACCAAGCCGGCGAUCUCUAGCUGGUCUGGGAGGAUGACCAGCAACACUGGAACGCAGACACGGUCCAGACUCCUACGGGAGGCAGCAGUGGGGAAUAUUGCACAAUGGGCGCAAGCCUGAUGCAGCCAUGCCGCGUGUGUGAAGAAGGCCUUCGGGUUGGAAAGCACUUUCAGCGGGGAGGCGUUACCCGCAGAAGAAGCACCGGCUAACUCCGUGCCAGCCGCCGCGGUAAUAC